AAGACCUUUUAACAAUAGUCCUGUGAGGCUAGAAAAGGAAUCGUGAAUCAUAGACAAGUGUAUUCAUUAUAAAAUGGAUAAGUCUAUCGAAGUGAAUCCUUUACCUCAUGGUAAAAGGAUUUUUUCGUU
rfam:Bacilli bacterium VT-13-104 contig058, whole genome shotgun sequence.